GACGAACGCUGGCGGCGUGCUUAACACAUGCAAGUCGAACGAAGUGGCGAACGGGUGAGUAAUACGUGGGUAACCUGCCCUCCUUUUUGGGAUAAGACUUGGAAACGGGGUCUAAUACCGAAUAAAGGGGGAUGGGCUCGCGGCCUAUCAGCUUGUUGGUGGGGUGAUGGCCUACCAAGGCGGUGACCGGUAGCCUGCCUGAGAGGGUGCUCGGUCACAUUGGGACUUAGUUACGGCCCAUACUCCUACGGUCGGCAGCAGUGGGGGGUAUUGCACAAUGGUCGAAAUCCCGAUGCAGCGAUGCCGUGUGGGGGAUGAAGGCUUGCGGUUUGUAAACCUCUUUCGCUAUCGAACGUGUAGUUGGAGAAGAAGCGCCGGUUAACUACGUGCCAGCAGCCGCGGUAAUU
rnacentral:rRNA from 1 species